rnacentral:rRNA from 1 species
GUGGGGAAUAUUGGACAAUGGGGGGAACCCUGAUCCAGCCAUGCCGCGUGUGUGAAGAAGGCCUUUUGGUUGUAAAGCACUUUAAGCGAGGAGGAGGCUACCGAGAUUAAUACUCUUGGAUAGUGGACGUUACUCGCAGAAUAAGCACCGGCUAACUCUGUGCCAGCAGCCGCGGUAAUACAGAGGGUGCGAGCGUUAAUCGGAUUUACUGGGCGUAAAGCGUGCGUAGGCGGCUUUUUAAGUCGGAUGUGAAAUCCCUGAGCUUAACUUAGGAAUUGCAUUCGAUACUGGGAAGCUAGAGUAUGGGAGAGGAUGGUAGAAUUCCAGGUGUAGCGGUGAAAUGCGUAGAGAUCUGGAGGAAUACCGAUGGCGAAGGCAGCCAUCUGGCCUAAUACUGACGCUGAGGUACGAAAGCAUGGGGAGCAAACAGGAUUAGAAACCCGGGUAGUCC